rnacentral:lncRNA from 1 species
AAGAAAGAAAAUAAAGGAAUGGAAAUGUCUGAAAAGAAAACAUCAGAAGCAGAAAAUGAUUAUGUACCUAUACAACCAGAACCCCAAAGUCUGUAUGAGCCUUAUGUAUUAAGAAAUUCUUCAAACUU